GAUAACAUUGGCCUGGUGUUAGUAAAGACAGGAUCAUAUAUUAUCUGUGCCACUUACAGGGAGGGGAUGUAUCCAAGUGUGUGUGUUGAAGCUGCAGAGAAACUUGGUGAUUACUUUAGAUCAAAGGGUAAAUGAAAGGAUCAAAGACUUGUUUACUUAUUGGUGCUACAGACAAACAGAAAAAGCAGAGAAUGCAACAAAGCCAAUUGGUAAAUCAAGUCUACAUCCAAAGACCACGUGUAUUACGGACUCUACUCCCCCAUUUCUAUUGCAUACGUGCAUUGAAUGUUUUAUUACAAGAUAGAUAACAAGCCUUGUAAAUCAUUGUAGAAAUCUGUAAAGAGGGAGUUUGCUCAUAAAAGUACAAUUCAAAAACUAGUGUAAAAUUGUUUUUCCACACUGAAAUUUCUCAAUCCUCUACGUCUUUGUAUUUCUAUGUAAUUAAAUUAAUGCAUUUUUUCAGAAAAUCA